GACGAACGCUGGCGGCGCGCUUAACACAUGCAAGUCGAGCGAAGCGGCGGACGGGUGAGUAACACGUGAGUAACCUGCCUUAGACAUUGGGAUAGCCUCGGGAAACCGGGAUUAAUACCAAAUGGUCUAAGAUGGACUCGCGUCCCAUUAGCUAGUUGGUGCGGUAACGGCCCACCAAGGCGACGAUGGGUAGCCGACCUGAGAGGGUGAACGGCAACAUGGGAACUGAGAAACGGUCCAAACUCUACGGGAGGCAGCAGUGGGGAAUAUGGCACAAUGGAGGGAACGCGGAGGCAGAGAAGCCGCGGGAACGAAGAAGGCGUUAGAGUCGUAAAGUGCUUGGAGAUGGGAAGCGGUACCAUAAGAAAAAGCCCCGGCUAACUACGUGCCAGAGCCGCGGUAAUUC
rnacentral:rRNA from 1 species